CUGGGGCAUUCCGCCCCCUUUGGACUUCAUUGUCCCUGCUGUGUCACCAGGGGCCCUGCCACACCCUGCCUCCGAGUGUGUGGGGUCUGUACCUGCUUUGCCCCCACUGGCCGCUUUCUCCAGGACAGCCAUGAACAUCUCCAGUGUCCUCGGAGCAAGGAAGGAAUGCUUCCUGGAGCAGAAGUGGCCACAAUGACGCUAGGUCAGCAGAUGGCCGCAGAGGCCUGGGCAGUGACCGGUCGGAGAACAAAGCCUGAGGUGUUCCCAGGCCGGUUUCCACGGGAGUCUUGGCAGUGACCCGUGCACGGAGGAGACGCGUGCCUUCCUGGCCCCCCAGUUUGGAUUCCUGGUGCCUCUAAGGUCUGCUGAUGGCAGAGCUGCACCCGGGAUAUUGCCACGGUUUCUACAGGACUGAACAAAGGGGGACCAACGCAGAAAUGAAAACUUAAAACAAAACAGCCACUAAGGAAGGCGCAGAGGGACUUCCUUUCGGCCUGCAACAGUAUCUGUGCUGCCCAAGUGAGUAUGGAAUUUUAAAUUUUCAUUCUUAGUCUCUUCCUUCAUCCACUGGUCAUUCAGGAGCAUGUUGUUUAAUUUCCAUGUAUUUGUACAGUUUCAAAUGUUCCUCUUGUUAUUGCUUUCUGGUUUUGUUGCACUGUGGUCAGAUAAGAUACCUGGUAUCAUUUUGAUUUUUAAAACAUUGUAGAGACAUGUUUUGUGUCUUAACAUAUUGUCAAUCCUGGAGAAUCUCCCAUGUGCUGAUGAAAAGAAUGUAUUUUUCAGCUGUUGAGUGAAACGUUCUGUAAAGGUCUGUCAGGUCCAUUUGGUCUACGGUGUAGUUUCAAUCCAAUGUUUCUUUGUUAAUCUUCUAUCUAGAUGAUCUUUUUAAUGCUGAGAGAGGGGUUUUAGAGUCCAACUAUUAUUCUAUUGGGGUCUAUCUCUCCCUUUAGAUCUAUUAAUAAUAAUAUUUGCUUUAUAUACCUGGGUACCCUGGUGUUGGGUGCAUAUAUAUUUUUAAGUGUUAUAUUCCCUUGCCAAAUUAACCCCCUUAUUAUUAUACAGCGUCUUUGUCUCUUUUUAUAGCUUUUGAAGUCUG
rnacentral:lncRNA from 1 species